GCCUCCGUUCUCUGCAUCCCUCCACCCCAGUAUCCCUGCACCUCUUCAUCCCUCCAUUCCUGCAUCCCUCUAUUUUUCCAUCCCUCCAUUCCUGUAUCCCUGUGCCCUCCAUCCUCCAUCCCAGCAUCCCUCCAUCCCUGCUCCCCACUCUCACUUCCCUUCCCUUCACAGACAGGCUUUUCCUGCCAUCCUCAGACCCCACCCAGGGUUACCUGAUGCCUUUCCAGCUGCACACGGGGACUGACUCACCUCUCUCUUUCUCAGUCCCAAAGUCCCGAAAGAGAGCAUCUGAUGUGGUCAGCUUGUGACAAGGCGUCCACCUUCUGUCCAUGACAUGGAGGCCAGGGGAAGGUCUCACUGCCCAGCACCCCACCCUGUGCUCCCAGGCCUUUUGAAUGUUCCUCCUGCUCAGCCCAGUGACUGCGGGCUGUGGCUCCUCCUCCAGCCUCCCCUCGAGGUCCUGGUCUUACUUAGGAGGCCCCGGGUGUAGAUGCCUUCCCACCCACCAGGCAUUGCCCCUUUUCCUGGCUUCACAGACUCGGGAAUAAAGUUUCCUUCUGUUUCCCCUCUUGCAGAAGGAGAUCCGGUUGGCAGCUAAACCGCGCUGGGAACAGGGGCCUGAGUCCUGGACUAGGGCUCUUUCCCCGGGGCUGCUGCAGAUGGGGAGGAGCCUACACCCGCCUCCCGAGUGCUAAUCAGACCUGACAGGCUGGAGAAUGGCCAGUCAGCCUGAGGCCACCGCGGGACACCACCUAGGCCCAGCUUCUCCCCCCACCAGAGGGCGCCAGAGCCCGCCAAGCCUCGUAGGAGAUGGCAACAGGGCCUGCUGCUGCCACCUAGCGGCCAAUUCCGGGAAUGAAUCUCGGCACGCUCAUUACCCAGCGACUCUGCCCAUCUUGACCCUUUAUGUGAAGCAGAACAGCCGCUUCCGCAGUGAGCUGUCAGAAGGCGUCGUGCCUGUCUUGCUAGUGGGGAAACUGAGGCUCAGAGAGGCAGAAGACUUGCCCAAGAUCACACCACCGGGACCCAGGAUUCAAGCGCAGGCCUGCCCAGGCUCUCUGUGGCCUCCUGGCUGCGAGGAGGCAGCCAGGGACCAGGUGCCACCCUUCUGAGACACCUGAGAUCCCAGGCCCGAGAGGAUGAAGGCGGGAUUACCUGGAGCGUGUCUGAAUGCUGGAGGAAGAAGGGCAGCUGGGAGAUGAAGCUGUCAGGAUGGGCCGCAUCCCAUUUCCUGCCUCGUUUCAGUUCAACUUUCCAACAGACCUCCCUGGCUCGUCUUGCUCUUCUCUAAUGGACAAACAAACAGGCUCAGAGAGGUGGUGUGACUUGCCCAAGGUCACUCAGCUUGGAUGCUAUGGAACAGGGACGUCCACUGUCCCAGUCUGUUUAUGGGAAGCCGCUCUGCAACUGUCCUGACCCACCACAUGCCCCACCGCUGUUUCUCUUGCCCUGACCCCUUGUUCCCUGGACCAGGGUGGCACAGCUCCAGGCUCUUGGGCCCUUCCCGAGGGCAGGCACCUGUGACUGUGUCCCCAAAGACCUGAGUGGCUGAGGGGGCCCCACAGAGCUUGGACUUCCUGGAGGACAAGGAGGGGUCUGCCAGCCACCCCCACCACGCCCGCCCCAGGGCUCCCCUGGAGCUUCCAUGCCAGCCGGACUCAGGUGGGUCUGGAGGAGCACCGUGCCUCCAAUCAGACCUUGAGAUGUGCCCCCUGCCCCCACUGUGCCCUCCCCUGCCCAGGAGUCUGGUUGCAAACCCUGAUUAAGGGGAUUUUAUCUCCACCAGAGGGCCAGUAGGUGGGAAGUAGCUUAAACAAUGCAGGUUUAUAAUCUCACAGUUCUGGAGGUCAAGAGUCUGAAAUGGGCCUCAUGGGGCUAAAACCAAGGUGUCUGCAGGGCUGUGUUCCUUCUGGAGGCUCCAGGGCAGGAAGGGGAGGAUCCACUUCUGUGCCUUUCCAGCUUCUAGAGGCUGCCUGCGUUCCUUGGCUCGUGGCCCCUUCCUCCACCUUCAAGCCAGCAGCGGAGGCCUGAGUCCUUCUCAUGCCAUCUCUCUGUUCUCUCUCCUGCCUCCUCCUCCACACUGAAGGACCCCUGUGAUCACACUGGCCCCCCCACCGGAUGACCCAGGAUAAUCCAUCUCCCUGUUUGAAGGUCGGCUGAUUAGCAACCUUCAUUCCAUCUGCCUCCUUCAUUCCCCCUGGCCAUGUAAUGGGAUUCACAGCUUCUGGGGAUUAGGACAUGGACAUCUUGUGGCGGGGGCAUAAUUCUGUCGACGACACCAAGAAACACUUGGAUGUUAAGGAUUCACCGAACACUGUUCAGGCUGAGGCAGGAGAAUUGCUUGAACCUGGGAGGCAGAGGUUGCAGUGAGCCGAGAUCAUACCAUUGCACUCCAGCCUGGGCAACAAGAGUGAACCUCCAUCACAAAAAACAAACAACAAAAAAAAUCAGGUAUAAUUACAUACAGUGAAACAUAUGGUGACUCAAGUACACAGUUCAGUGUUUUUUUUGUUUUUGUUUUUUUUUAAGAUGGACUCUUGCUCUGUCGCCCAGGCUGGAGUUCAGUGGCGCGAUCUUGGCUCACUGCAACCUCUGUCUUCCAGGUUCAAGCAAUUCUGCCUCAGCCUCCCAAGUAGCUGGGACUACAAGUGCACGCCACCAUGCCUGGCUAAUUUUUGUAUUUUUAAUAGAGAUGGGGUUUUUUUUUCUUUCUUUUUUUUUUUUUUUGAGACAGGGUCUCACUCUGUCACCCAGGCUGGAGUGCAGUGUCACAAUCUCGGCUCACUGCAACCUCUGCCUCUUGGGUUCAAGCAAUUCUUCUGCCUCAGCCUCCUGAGUAGCUGGUAGCUGGGACUAUAGGCACGUGCCACCACACCCAGUUAAUUUUUUGUAUUUUUAGUAGAGAUGGGGUUUCACCGGGUUAGCCAGGAUGGUCUCAAUCUCUUGACCUCGUGAUCUGCCCGUUUUGGUCUCCCAAAGUGAUGGGAUUACAGGCGUGAGCCACCGCGCCAGGCUGAGAUGGGGUUUCACCACGUUGGCCAGGCUGGUCUGGAACUCCUGACCUCAGGUGAUCCGCCUGCCUUGGACUCCCAAAGUGCUGGGAUUACAGACGUGAGCCACCGUGCCCGGCCAGUUCUAUGAGUUUUGAUGAAUGUGUCCUGCUUCUUCCCAGGCUCCACCAUCUCUUCCCCUAAAGGCAACCACCAUUCUGAUUUCUCUCACCAAAGACUGGAAAAAUAUCCCAAUACCUGGAUGUAUGCCUCACGUGUCCCGCUGGCCCCAGCACCCAGGUAUAGUUAGUUACUGCUGUGCCUGGCUUCACUCUCACUUUUUUUUUUUUUUUCUUUUUUUGAGACAUAGUCUCGCUCUGUAGCCCAGGCUGGAGUGCAGUGUGGCACAAUCUCAGCUCACUGCAACCUUCACCUCCCAGGUUCAAGCGAUUCUCCUGCCUCAGCCUCUCGAGUAGCUGCGACUACAGGUGCCCACCACCACACCUGGCUAAUUUUUGUAUUUUUAGUAGAGAUGGGGUUUCACCUUGUUGGCCAGGCUGGUCUCGAACUCCUGACCUCAAGUGAUCCACCUGCCUCAGCCUCCCAAGGUGCUGGGAUUGCAGGCCGGCCUUACCUGGUAUGGUUUUUAGGUUCAUGUUGAUGCCUGGAGUUUCAGUAAUUCCCUCCCAUUCGUUGCUGAGUAGCACUGCAACACAUGCAGGCAGCUAUUUGGGGAUCUUUUCACCUGUUGAUGGGUGUCUGGACUGUUUCCAGUUUUUGGCUGUUACAAAUGAAGCCUCUGUGAGCCACG
rnacentral:lncRNA from 1 species